CAGACACCAGCCCUCAGGACACACUCCCGCUGAACCCAGGGCACUGCAGAAAAUGGAAGAAGAUUAGGUCAGACGUUCACAGACCACGCAGUGAAGUGGCAGCUGAGUGACCACGGGGGUAUGCAUGCCCCCACACAAAAUGCUUACAGAGACAGCACAAGCAGGCGGAGUGGGGGAGGGAGAAGCAGGCUCCCCACUGAACCAAGGAGCCUGAAGCCCAAAGCGGGGCUUGAUCCCAAGACCCUGUCUUCAGCUGUGUUUCUCUUACCAGGUUCUCGAAGGCUGAAUGAGAUGUGUGUGAAAAUCCUGUGCCGGCCUUCACAUCAGGAGUCAGAUGGCAUCGCUCCCGCCCAAAACCCUGCAGCAGCCGUGCCUUCCUUGGAGUACCUGCAACCACGCGCUCUGUGGGUAGCCUUUGAGUUCCUCUCCCACCCCCAUGCCCUUGUGCCCUCUACGGCAAUGUCUCUUCACCUGGCCCCCCCUGCCCCAGGGCCCUUGCACUGGCUGCUCCUCUGACUUAGAACACAUUUUCCUGUGUUUCCAUAACUCUUCAAGUUGUUGCUCUGCUAAGAAAGAGACAACAGGGGGCGCCCGGGUGGCUAGGAAGGUUAAGGGUCCGACUCUUGAUUUCAGCUCAGGUCAUGAUCUCAGGGUCGUGAUCCCAGGGUCCUGGGAUUGGGGUCCAGGCUCAGAAAGAAGUCUGCUUGGGAUUUUCUUUCUCCCACCUCCCUCUGCACCUCACUUUUAAAAGAGAGAGAGAGAGAACAGGCUGAAAAGAAAGUCACGUGCUGAGCCCCAUGUCAGCAAACCAAGAGGUCAUACUUAGCCUAAGUUCCAGCCCCCCAGGAAUGUACAUAAUCUUUAACCAGUGACCUGGAAUUACCUGGUCAGGAGGAGAGCAAGCCCCAGAGACACCACUACUGCUCCCCUUGGGAGGGCACCCUUGCCUGAAACAAUGCAUUCUCUGCUAAUAAUUUCCUUUAAACAUUCUCCCUUUGCUUUAAAAGCCUUUCCCUUUCUAUAGCUCCGGGAGCUCCUUUGUAUUUGCCGAAUGGGAGGAUGCCUAAUGCCUGAUUCAUGAAUCCCCAAAUAA